UACAGAGAGUGCGAGCGUUAAUCGGAAUUACUGGGCGUAAAGCGUGCGUAGACGGUUAUUUAAGUCGGAUGUGAAAGCCCCGGGCUCAACCUGGGAAUUGCAUUCGAGACUGAAUAGCUAGGGUGCGGUAGAGGGAAGCGGAAUUUCCGGUGUAGCGGUGAAAUGCGUAGAUAUCGGAAGGAACAUCAGUGGCGAAAGCGGCUUCCUGGACCAGCACCGACGUUCAGGCACGAAAGCGUGGGGAGCAAACAGG
rnacentral:rRNA from 1 species